UGCGGGAUGGAGCAGUCUGNNAGCUCGUCGGGCUCAUAACCCGAAGGUCGUUGGUUCAAAUCCAGCUCCCGCUACCA
rnacentral:tRNA from 1 species